rnacentral:misc_RNA from 1 species
CAGGAGGCAUUAUAUAAUAUUGCGUGUGCAUUUCAUCACGUUGGACUUGUAUCUCUAGCAGCUUCAUAUUAUGAAAAGGUGCUUGAAACAUGUGAAAGGGAUUACCCUAUUCCCAAACUUCUGAAUGAGAAUUCAGAUCUUCUGGAAAACCUGAAGCCAGGUUACUGUGACCUGCGUAGGGAGGCAGCUUAUAAUUUGCAUUUGAUAUACAAAAAAAGUGGGGCUAUUGAUCUUGCUCGCCAGGUCUUGAAAGAUCACUGCACUUGCUGAGUAAAGAUGCUUCAAACUCACAUCAAUUGGCUUGUGAAAAAUGUGAGGUGAUCUAACUUGUAUAUAUAUCUUUUUAGAUUGAUCGCCAACAAAUCCUUGUUUGUUUAAUUUAUUA